rnacentral:ribozyme from 1 species
GGUAAGAAUGACAAUAAGUAGGGAAAGGUGGCAUCAACAUCACACUCCCCACCACAUAUUUUUUUAAUUCAGUCCUUUUUUAUUGUUUCGUUCUUCCUUGCUUUCUGUUUAUAUGCGUGUAUGUAAGCGUUGAGUGAGGGCUGAUAUG